GAAACAAAAUCAAAAUUUUAUUAGGCGGCUUCGUAACUCCGUAAAUUGGCAUCACUGCCUUCCAUUCCAGUUCUCACGAAAUUCGUCUGCAUUUGCUAUUUACGUCAGUCUCAGUCUCACAGCAGCUCAUAGUUUGACUGUUGGAGCUGUGCGUUGAUAAUCAACCCAGAGCUCCAGUCCAGCAUUCAGCAUAGUGUCCACAAACACAUUUGUCUAAGUGAAAUUUUGAUUAAUCAAUUGACGUAAUAGUACGUUCAAGUACAGGUUUCUUUUGUUCAUUGACUGCUCAAUCAUUACAGUAUCCCGCCCUCUGACACGUGGUUGAAACAAAGAAGUGGAACUCGUUAACAAGUGGAACUGGAUUUUUGGUCUUCCAUGCAUAAUGAGAGGUACCUCAAGGGAGAAAAGUUGUCUCUGUUCAUCUUUUGUCCAGCCAGUGUUUCAUUUGUUACGUGUUAGUGGUGUUACCUAUUGAAUUGAAUUUUGGCAUUCAACGUCAGCAACUCUUUACCCUUACUUGAACUACUGAGCCAUUCUACCUGAAAUUGCAAUUCUUCAUUCAACUCAGUUCCACAUCUAGCAAAUAGCAUCUGUUCGAGAUAUUAGCUCACAGCCAAACGCGAUGAGGAUAAUGUCGCUGGGCACGACUGAAGGAGUGAAGGCCACAGACCAAUUGUGGCCCAAUAUGGUGGUGACUCCUCCACCGAGAGGAGGUACAGCAAAAAUCGAAGACAAACAAAUCUUGGUAGACUGGAUAUAGACGGCCUUUAAAGUCCAGCAAAUGAAAAGAUUCUUCUCCAAUCAGGAAAGUAUCCUGCCUCACUAAACAGGAUUCCGGAUGAAACCAAAACGUAUUUCACCAAAUAACGGCUGAUUCUUCUUUAUUCGGGUGGUUUUUUAAUAGUUGUGUCACACCGUAUUUCACACCAGUGUCAUGGAUUUGGGAACCAGCGACGAGCUAUUUCCGUAGAGAGACAACUGACACUCCGACUUUUGUGGUUCCUAGCGUACACUCAAAGGACCUUGAAGAAAUGACACCACUCUUUGUCCUUCACGCUUGAAGGCCGCGGGAAACAUUACGUAAAACUGUCAAUGCGGUGGUGUAGAGGUUGGGUGAGAAUUGGACGUGUUGCAUCAUUAUCAAGCAGACCCAUCCCCAGGAACGUCAACCUAAAGAAGGAAAGGCCAGUUUGCAUUUUCUUCACGCUCGAAGGUCACGUAAAACAUGUCAUACGACGGGGGAGAGGUUGGGUGAGGACGACACGUGUUGCUUCAUUAUCAAGCAGGUAUACAAUAGCCGCAAAGCUUAAGAGGUGGGUCAGGGUGAGAAAAAGAAAAAAGUCGUAUAAAAGGCGAGAGAAAAGGCUACGGAAAUCAGUCGAGUGAGAAUCUCCGACACGGCAACAACUGCAGCUCAUUAUUUGUCACCAACUGCCUUCUUCAUUGUUAUACCGGUUUGCAAUCACGGUACAGUUAACUAUGGCGCCGUGCUGCUGUUUGGUGUUGUAUGGUUAAUGGUUGGGUCCACCACGGGUGAUCCGAUGUCUCCUGGACUUGGUGGAUACCAAGCAACAGCAGCGAAAGAAUAGUGCACCACGUCGCCGCCUUACUACACAGCAACGUCUAGAUACGCAACAUCUAUUUAGUACGCCGUUGCUCUCAAGUACUACAGCACCGAGUAUACGUAUACUGUCCCAGCCUACUACGACGAAGCCCCCCAACUACUACUACACCGAAAAGUUUACUUCACUAAGUUUAACUCUGCUCCAAGCUACUACCAACGUUAACUAUGGCGUCGUGCUGCUGUUGGCUGUUGUAUCCUUGAUGGUUGAGUUGACCGCUGGUGUACCGAUGUCUCGGGGGAAUGUGGAUACCAAACCGCGACGCCGCCGUCUUAUAACACAACAGCAAACGCAACAACCGGUUACUUCACCACCAAUUCCCCGGAGUAUAAUCCACAACUGAUGAUGUCCCGAACUACUACACCGAGGCCCCAAAGUAUAACUCCGCCCCGAGUUACACCACCAAGGCACCGGAGUUACUACACCACCAAGGCACCGGAGUUACUACACCACCAAGGCACCGGAGUUACUACACCACCAAGGCACCGGAGUUACUACACCACCAAGGCACCGGAGUUACUACACCACCAAGGCACCGGAGUUACUACACCACCAAGGCACCGGAGUUACUACACCACCACGUGUGCUGCCCUAGCCUUUUACACCAAGGCCUAAGUACUACUCCGUUCCCAGCUACUUCACCGAGGCUCCAGCUUAUUACGCCACCAAAGCGGUCGAAUACUACACCGAAGCGCCCUAGGACUACUCUGCACCAAAUUACUACUCAGCGGCUGCUCCUUCGUACUACGUUGGGCUGAAAUACUACACUGAGGUUCCAGUUUACUACACUACAACCCACGCUACCUUCAGCUACCAUACCGAGUCUCCACUCCCAUACCGAUGCUCCUAAGUACUACACAACUACGGCACCCGAGUAUUACAUCACUACUUAGGCUGCUCCCACCUACUGCAUCGAAGCUGCGAAGUAUUCCACUGCCCUGAGUUACUACACCAUUAAGGCACCUGAAUGUAACAUCACAACCUUCGCUACUCCAGUUUACUACAGGGAGGCUCUUAAAUACUACAGCCAAAAUUUCGGAUGUAUUUAAUUGUGUUCAAAUUUGUGGGUCACAUCUUAAUAGUUACUAAACACUUGGAAUCGUUGAGCUUAAAUGAGAAAAUAAAUUUUUUUAUGGUAA